rnacentral:sRNA from 2 species
UGACUCUAGCACCGGCGUAGCUUCUGGUGGGGAGUUAACUCUAGUCAAUUCUUCAAAGAAUUUACAGCAAACCUCAUAAAUAUAGAGUAGGAUCGAUUUGGCAGUUGAUAGAAUGAUAGUAUUGAAUAGAGAGAGAAUUAAUCACAUACAUGGAUGAAGGAGGGUGAGAUUCUCACCCUUCUUCUCACCGUGAGAAUGGCCAAUGACUUCUAUUGAUAUUAGAGAUAAUCACACCUUCAACUAGAAGACAUGUUUUGACCUUGUUACCUGCAACUUAUGAAGGCAACACAGUAAGAUGUAUAAGAGACAGUAAGCCUACUAGAGACAUCUAUCUACAUCAUGAUGCCAAAAUUCAAUUAAUUGUAGCAAUAUGAGAGGCAGCAAGCAUACCAGGGACAUUGUAUGUAUCAUAAUUGCAAAAUAACUUGAUCACGGAGACAGCUGAAGACCUCUUUAAAGCAUUUAAUCUGAUAACUCUACUCCAAAACAGCUUAUCCACUAUCACAGAGAACAC